AUUGAACGCUGGCGGCAGGCCUAACACAUGCAAGUCGAACGGUAACAGGAAGCAGCUUGCUGCUUCGCUGACGAGUGGCGGACGGGUGAGUAAUGUCUGGGAAACUGCCUGAUGGAGGGGGAUAACUACUGGAAACGGUAGCUAAUACCGCAUAACGUCGCAAGACCAAAGAGGGGGACCUUCGGGCCUCUUGCCAUCGGAUGUGCCCAGAUGGGAUUAGCUGGUAGGUGGGGUAACGGCUCACCUAGGCGAGGAUCCCUAGCUGGUCUGAGAGGAUGAGCAGCAACACUGGAACGGAGACACGGUCCAGACUCCUACGGGAGGCAGCAGUGGGGAAUAUUGCACAAUGGGCGCAAGCCUGAUGCAGCCAUGCCGCGUGUAUGAAGAAGGCCUUCGGGUUGUAAAGUACUUUCAGCGGGGAGGAAGGGAGUAAAGUUAAUACCUUUGCUCAUUGACGUUACCCGCAGAAGAAGCACCGGCUAACUCCGUGCCAGCCGCCGCGGUAA
rnacentral:rRNA from 1 species